UAUGCCAGAAUUUUUUCAAGAACAGUCUGAAUCUGACAUGGAAAAAAUUAAGAAAAACAGCCUUCCUGUUUAUAAAUCUACAUUCUGACAAAGGAUCAUUUUCUUGAGAUAGGUGGAACCAACAGUCAAAUACAGACACUUCUAAGAAAAGUAAAAAUCUGGCUCAGGUAAGAAAGAAAUUCAGGAGUUCUUAAAUUGCCCUUGGAGUUCUUGGAUUGCAUCAAACGGCUAAAAGACCUCAACAAAAACAGCGUCUUGAAAAUAAAAAUGAAAAUAUUCAGUGAAAAAAAAAUGAUGAAAGAGCCACUAAAAAUCUUCAAGCCUUUGAGCUGAAAUCUGGAAGUCAAUCUGUGGACUUUACUAGUAAGUCAUAAUUACUAAGUCAUCAUUUGUGUAUAAUAAAUACACUAAACUGUAAACACUUGUUAAAAUGUGUAUAAUUUUUAGAUAUAAUUUUUAUCUCAUAGACUUCAAUAGUUUCAUGUAAUUUAAGUAAUAAUGAAAAUUUCCUGUUGUCUAGCUAGAUUAGAAACUAUUAUUGUCCAAUUUUGGAUAUUGUGAAAUAAUUCAUCUAGUAUGCAUACAUGUGUGUACACUUACGUGUAAAUUAAUUGU